rnacentral:rRNA from 1 species
UACGGAGGGAGCAAGCGUUGUCCGGAAUCAUUGGGCGUAAAGCGCGCGUAGGUGGCCUCAUAAGUCCGCUGUGAAAGUCAAAGGCUCAACCUUUGAAAGCCGGUGGAUACUGUGAGGCUAGAGUACGGAAGAGGCGAGUGGAAUUCCUGGUGUAGCGGUGAAAUGCGCAGAUAUCAGGAAGAACACCCGUGGCUAAGGCGGCUCUCUAGUACGGUACUGACGCUGAGACGCGAAAGCGUGGGGAGCGAACAGG